rnacentral:lncRNA from 1 species
ACAAAUCGACACUUCUUCGAAAAACUCUAUUUCUCUUCCUCUCUUCCGCAAAACUUCGCCAAGUGAUUUCGCCGACGUUUUUUAACCAAAUCGGAGAGUUCUGCUUCGAAAUCGGAGAGGAUUCAGGUGUUUAAAGUCUCUUGAAACGCCAACGAUUUGUUUAAGGUAUGUAUUCGAGUCGAAUAGAACUUGAUUUGGAGAAAUUAGGGUUUUCGCAAAUUGGGGAUAAAUUUCAGUUCCACUAAAAUCGGUCUUCCGAGAUCGUUUAGGGUAAUUAGAACCUGCAAACCUGUAUUUUUGAUUUGAUAUGUUAAACGAUUUCAUGGUUAAGAUGUGAAGCAAUUUCAAAAAAUCAUCUAACAUCUGGGUUGUCGGAUUUAUGGAUUUAGCGAAUGGUUUUGGUUUGAUUAGUGGAUUUAGCAAGCUGUAUCAUCUGUUAAAUGAUGAUUUGAACAUGGAUUUGGGAUUUACCGAGUGAUUUCAUGUGUUAACCGAUGCUCAUUUGAUUUAGCUUGUAGUCAUUGAUUUCUUUGACAUUAGGUUGGCUUAUGUAACAAGAACAUGCUUUAUCUGUUAUGUAACAAGAACAUGCUUUCCUUAGAGAAUAUAUAAGCUAGUAUUUACAGCCAUUUCCUUUGUCUUUAAGUAGGUUUUUUCUAAACCCAGCUACUCUCUAAGUUUUAGUUAACUCUGUUGUAUUAAAAAGUCUUGUAAGCUAUGCUAUGUAGUCUCGAAGAACUGUUGUUUAACUUUUGGUAAUGAGGCAAUGUUAUGGUUAGUAUUGGUUCCAUAUUGUUAUUGGUUUCGUGUUGCAUCUGCGGUUUGGUUCUUGGGCAUCUGUUUCUAGUUUCAUUUCCCUUUUGCAGAUUAGAUUGACUGUACUUGUAUUAAUGCUAUUCAUUUUUUUAAUUGCUUUGAGGUGAAUUGGAGUAAAUUGUGGCGUAAUGAAAGUAACUACCAGAAGUUGGUUCACGUCUGCUUCGUAUUUAAGGUUAGUCUUCAAUCUGUAGUUAUGUGUAUGACUUGUUAAUAAGUUUUAAGGGUUAAGGUCUUGUCAUUACCAUAAAUGUUUGUUUGGUGAGUAGUUAAGUGUCUGUUAUUAUUGCCGUGACAGUUUGCUGGUUAGAGUAGGUUAGCGAGUUAAUGGUAGUUAAAGUUAAUAAGAUUUCCCUCUAUAAAAAACACAAAACAAACCUAAAACACACCACAGAAAACAAAACUUGAAUAAACCUAACUUAAAAAGUUCUUCCAAGUGCUUCCUUCUAAACCCUUCUUUGUUAACGUUUUUAAGUUCUUCUUUCUAAACUUCUUCCUUGAAUACCCUUUUCUCUUUUUAAUCCUUUACACGAAGAUGGAUUCCACAAACCCUGCCUUGACUGGUUUUGUUAACCUACUAACCAGUCAACAAGAAAACCAAUACACUUUCCCAACAACCAUCGAGCUUGGAUCAGCCGAACCUAGGUUUAGCCAGUUUACACUUGAAGAACAAAGCGGACCUGGUGAAGAUCGUAAAGUGGUGCGACGGCAGUGGACACCGACCGAGGACAAAGUCCUCAUCAGCGCUUGGUUAAAUACAAGCAAGGAUCCGGUGGUGGGAAAUGAUCAGAAGGCCGGACCUUUCUGGAAAAGAAUCCAGAAAUAUUUCAACUCAACUCUCCAACUAGUUGGUGCGAAUGCAAGAGAGUCGACUCAAGUUAAGCAGUGAUGGGGAAGGUUGAAUAACGAAGUCUGUAAAUUUGUCGGGUGCUUUGAAGCAGCAAUGAAGGAGCAAAGUUCGGGGAUGAACGAAAACGAUCUGAUGAAGGCUGCUCACGAAAUUUACUUCAACGACUACGGUGCCAAGUUCACUCUUGAACACGCCUGGAGAGAGCUGAGACACGAUCAGAAAUGGUGCUCAAAGCUGGCUGGUAAUGACGGUGGAAAGGCAAAACGCAGAAAAGUGGACGACAGUUCUCCACAAUCUCCAAGUACCCACCCAGACAUCAUCCCCGAUGAUGUACCCCAGACUCGUCCACCAGGGAUUAAGGCUGCGAAGGCGGGCAAAGCCAAAGUGAAGGGAAAUGGUUCAGCGGCUCAUAAAGCAGAGGGAAACCCUGUGGUGGACAUGAAAUCAAUGUGGGAAAUGAAGAGACUGGACUUAGACCUGAAAGACAAAAUUUCGAAGAGGAGAUUGCUUGACAGCCUUCUCGUAAAAACUGAACCACUGACUGACAAAGAAUUGGCUUUGAAAGACAUACUCAUUAGCGAGAUGUUGUAGAAAUUUGUCUGUUUUACUUGUUUUCAAUAUGUGUACUUGUUUUUGUUUGUCUUUGUGCUAUGUUGCUGAAUUAGGUGUUCAUGUACUUCGUAUUUGUUCUUGUUCUAUGCCAUAAUGAAUUUUUUGUUUGAGUGUGUACUUUGUUGUAUUAGAUUUAAUUUGUGUUUGUUGUACUUGUUGUUAUUCAAUGGCUUUGUACUUUGCAGAUAUUUAUGGAGAGUCAUCGAAUACAAAGCUUCUUUUGUUUGUGGAGUAGAAGCUCCAGCUUUUGGUGUUUUGCAGAGGCAUCGCUCACGGGUGUUUUGCAGUGGAGAGGCAUCGCUCACGGGUGUUAAACUUGUGGAGUAGAAGCUCCAGCUUUUGGUGUUUUGCAGAGUCGUGGAAUCUAUACAAAGCUUCUUUUGUUUUCAUUUGUCACGGGCUUUUCUAUCUUUUGUAACUUGUAUUUUUUGUAACUUGUCAUUUCUGUAACGUGUAGUUUCUAAUCCACACAAUAUCAGGGAUUGUAAGCCACAAAAAGUUCACCACUUCUCUUAUUUAUACGAUCAUUGGUGCUCUUCAAACACA